GAACGUUGGCGGCGUGGAUUAGGCAUGCAAGUCGAACGAGAAAGCUUCCUUCGGGAAGUGAGUACAGUGGCGAACGGGUGAGUAACGGGUGGGAAACCUGCCCAGGUGUGGGGGAUAACACCUCUAACGGGGUGCUAAUACCGCAUACGCCGAGGAGUCGCAUGGCUCGUCGGUAAAGGGGGCCUCUGAUUCAAGCUCUCGCAUCUGGAUGGUCCCGCCUCCCAUUAGCUCGUUGGUGGGGUAACGGCCCACCAAGGCAACGAUGGGUAGCCGGCCUGAGAGGGUGUCCGGCCACACUGGGACUGAGAUACGGCCCAGACUCCUACGGGAGGCAGCAGUCGAGAAGCUUCGGCAAUGGGCGAAAGCCUGACCGAGCGACGCCGCGUGAGGGAUGAAGGCCCUACGGGUUGUAAACCUCUGUCAGGAGGGGAUAAAGCGUAUCGGCCAAUACCCGAUGCGUCUGAAGGUACCUCCAAAGGAAGCUCCGGCUAACUCCGUGCCAGCAGCCGCGGUAAUACGGAGGGAGCAAACGUUGUUCCGGAUUUACUGGGUGUAAAGGGUGCGUAGGCGGNCUAACGUGUGUCAGAGGUGAAAGCUCACGGCUCAANCCGUGGAACUGCCUUUGAAACUGCGUAGCUUGAGUCCGAGAGAGGAUGGUGGAAUUCCUGGUGUAACGGUGAAAUGUGCAGAUAUCAGGAAGAACACCGGUGGCGAAGGCGGCCAUCUGGCUCGGUACUGACGCUGAGGCACGAAAGCUAGGGUAUCGAACGGGAUUAGAUACCCCGGUAGUCCUAGCAGUAAACGAUGUCCACUAGGUGUCGGAGGUCCUACCCCUUCGGUGCCGGAGCUAACGCAUUAAGUGGACCACCUGGGGAGUACGCUCGCAAGGGUGAAACUCAAAGGAAUUGACGGGGGCCCGCACAAGCGGUGGAGCAUGUGGUUUAAUUCGAUGCAACGCGAAGAACCUUACCUGGGCUUGACAUGCAGGGGACAGGUGUAGAGAUACACCCUUCUUCGGACUCCUGUACAGGUGCUGCAUGGCUGUAGUCAGCUCGUGUCGUGAAAUGUUGGGUUAAGUCCCGCAACGAGCGCAGCCCUUGUCCUUAGUUGCCAGCACGUCAUGGUGGGAACUCUAGGGAGACUGCCGGUGACAAACCGGGGGAAGGUGGGGACGACGUCAAGUCAUCAU
rnacentral:rRNA from 1 species